GAAAAGGGUAUUUCCAUUUAAAUCACACUGACAGGAACGUUUCUGGACAGGGUAAAUGAUCCGGUGCGAAUUUAAUGAAACUAUGACGAGUUGGAUGAGUAUAUGAUGUAAUAAGAAAGUAAAAUAUAAGCUGACAUGACGUUAAACAUGGUGAUCAAUUACAGUUUUGGAGAUACUUGUAAGAUUGAAUUGCAUACAAUUGUUUGAAUGGCUGGCAAUGACACAAAAUAUCGUCAUAAAUAGAAUUUUGAGGCCUUGGGAAGAAAAUGCAUCUGGAAAUCAAAUAAAAAGCCUAUAACACUAAUUUAGCAUUUAAGGAAGGAAUUACCGCUUUAACAAGGAAACGGAACGCGAUGAAAAUAUGGUUUCUGAAAAGGAGGAAACAUCUGACAAAUCUUACUAUAAAUGGAUUUAAAAGGUUUAAAAACAAGACAUAAGAAAAUAAGACCGAAACUACUGUGUCUAACAUGGAUCUAAGAAUGAGGAAAGUGAUGUGUUUGAAAUGCAGAAAAAUCUAGUGGAAAUACUGCUUCUGAAAAAUAUUGUGGUAUCUAUGAUUUUACGAUUAUAAACUGUUGUCUAUCUACAGUGAUAGAACAAAAAGGAGGCAAGGUGAUAUUAUUUUGAUAUUGAAACAAAUCAAUAUGAACAUAUAGUUGGAAAAAAAAUAAUGAGUUCAAAGUGUGUAAUAUAAAUUAUGUUUCUUAAAUGGAACCAUCUCGAAGAUAUUCAUCAAAACAUGGUUCCGAUUCCGAAAUGACAACGAAAUCUAAAAUGCGGAUGGACAAAUUGAACGCUAAAAAAACCUCCUUUGGAACAGAAAUCUACAAAAUUGGCAAGUAGAUCAAUGUAUAUUUUAUAUUUCAAAAGUUGUUUUUAAUUUCAUUUUGAAGAUUUUAUAAAUCAUGUUUUUCCAAAACGAAAAGAAAAUAGACCGAAGAACUGUUAUUAAUUAUAUUUACAAUACACCAUUGGAGCCAAUAGAAAGAAUGGAGAAUCUACCUAUGUAUCCAUAACUUAAUCUUGGAAUUAAACAUAAAGUCCAGCGGACUAAGCUGA